AUUCUAGACUGUACAGGUCUUUGGAAAGGAUUCUGUGCAAGUGGAAGAAGCCCUGGGUUCUCCUUGCUCUGGCAUAAACCCUGUGUCCUUUCCCAAUUUCCUUUACCUCUUUGGCCUUCAGGGUCAGUCACGUCAUAAAACAAGGCUUGGGGAUUAGAUCUUAUCAGAAGCCCCUUCUCCAUCUCUGAUCUGAUGAUUCUGAGGCAUCUUUUCCACCCCGCAGAGCCCUGUAUCUCACAGAUUCUGUCACGGGCUCCAAGCUAUUGAGGACAGCCCUGCACUGCUCCACAAACCAAAGUGAAUGAAGACUGACAGUGGGUGGAAGCUGUCACAGCCUUAAUUCUAUACGAAUAAAACAUCUACGCUCAGAAGUGCCACUUGUACCUCUCUGUACACGCUCAGAAUUAAUGUGCUGUUAAUGCUCGACAGCCUGUUCCUAACAUUGCAGCCGAAAUCACUUUGCUCCUGAAGCCACAUUGGGAGGGGCCGAGCACAGCACCAGCUGUGCCUAUGAAAAUGGCUGUGUCUUGGGAGCAAGAGUGCCUUCAAACUGACAACUGUUAAUCUCAGCUGCAAAGAAAUCAAAGGGACAGAGACCCUGCAAGGAGUGAGGUCACUGCAGAGCAAAGAGCAGCCUUGUGAACAACAUUUCUUCCAAUUGUGGAAGAGGCUCCAGCCUGAGGACCUGUGCUGUGAGGGAUGACAGUCCCCCUGCUCCCUCAUUCUUCCUCCAGCUGCUCCCCUGACUUCCAGACCCUGCUCCCCAUUGGUGCUCCUCAGCUCUGCCAGGGGACGUGGCGUGGGGGCCCGAGGUGCCAAGACAGCUUGCAACAAAGGGGAGCUUUGUUCAGUGUGGUGGGUACAGGCUGGCUCUGGCACAACACUGUUGGUGUCAGCCUUCUAGAGGUGGCUUCUGGUCUGUGCCCCUCUAAACUGGGAAGCUAG
rnacentral:lncRNA from 1 species